UGCCUCAUGGUGUAAUUGGCAACACGUCAGAUUCUGGCUCUGAAGAGUCUAGGUUCGAGCCCUAGUGAGGCAA
rnacentral:tRNA from 2 species